rnacentral:rRNA from 1 species
CAGCAGCCGCGGUAAUACGAAGGGUGCAAGCGUUAAUCGGAAUUACUGGGCGUAAAGCGUGCGUAGGCGGUGAGUUAAGUCUGCUGUGAAAUCCCCGGGCUCAACCUGGGAAUGGCAGUGGAUACUGGCUCGCUAGAGUGUGUCAGAGGAUGGUGGAAUUCCCGGUGUAGCGGUGAAAUGCGUAGAGAUCGGGAGGAACAUCAGUGGCGAAGGCGGCCAUCUGGGACAACACUGACGCUGAGGCACGAAAGCGUGGGGAGCAAACAGGAUUAGAUACCCCGGUAGUCCCUGUCUCUUAUAC